rnacentral:tRNA from 1 species
AGGGUUGUAGCCAAGUGGUAAGGCAGAUGACUGUUAAUCAUCCAUGCGUAGGUUCGAAUCCUACCUUCCCUG